rnacentral:misc_RNA from 1 species
GAAACUUUGUGCUCAAAUAUUAAUGUUGGAUCAUCCAUCUCCAAACCAUCAUUUUGUUAUAGAUUUCCAUCCUUGACACAUAGAAGAGGGGCUGCUUGUAGGAGAAAGGAGCUUAUUCCUAUUUCACUGGUGGGAGAGAAUGAUCAAAAUUUGGUGAAAUGUAUAGGCAAAGGAGUUAUUGGAUUAGCUGCUGCUACUGUGCUGUCAUUCUCCUCUUAUUCUCCAGCUUUCGCUCAGUCUUUAACUGUAGCAUUCCCUGUCUCUCACACACCUGAGGUAAAUACAGUUCAGAGGACCUUAAUUGAGGCUUGGAGUUUGAUUAGAGAGACAUUCGUAGAUCCAACUUUCAAUCAUCAAGAUUGGGAUUUGAAACUGCAACAAACCAUGGUAGAAAUGUUUCCAUUGAGAUCAGAAGAUGCUGCCUAUAGCAAAGUAAGGGGAAUGCUAUCUACACUUGGAGAUCCCUAUACACGCAUUAUUAGUCCUAAGGAAUAUCAAAGUUUUAGAAUAGGAAGUGAUGGAAAUUUACAAGGUGUUGGCCUCUUUGUCAGUGUUGAACCAAAUACAGGCCACCUGGUUGUUUUGUCCUGUGUGGAGAAUAGCCCAGCUGCGCGUGCUGGCAUUCAUGAAGGAGAUGAAUUGCUUGAGAUAAAUGGUGAGAGGCUUGAUGGAGUUGACAGUGAAACAGCAGCUCAAAAACUGAGGGGCCGCGCUGGUACAACUGUUACAGUCAAAGUUCACAGAGAUAUUGGUGCAGGAGUAUCCAGUUAUCAAGAGGUUAAACUACCUCGCGAAGUGAUUAAGCUUUCACCAGUAUCCAGUACCAUCAUCCCUCACAAAAUGCCUGAUGGUCGUCUCUUAAAAACUGGAUAUGUAAAGUUGUCAAGCUUCUCUCAGUCUGCUGCUAUGGAAAUGGAAAACACAAUUCAGGAUAUGGAAAAUCAGGGUGUGGAAUCAUAUAUACUAGAUCUUCGAAAUAAUCCUGGAGGUCUCGUUACGGCUGGGUUAGAUGUUGCCCAGAUAUGGCUAGAUGGUGAUGAGACACUUGUGAACACUGUUGAUAGGGAUGGAAACAUGGCACCAAUUAGCAUGGUCAACGGACAUGCUGUAACACACGAUCCACUUGUCGUCCUUGUGAAUGAGGGAAGUGCAAGUGCUAGUGAGAUUCUGGCUGGAGCACUCCAUGAUAAUGGUCGUGCAAUCCUUGUCGGGCAUAAGACUUUUGGGAAAGGAAAGAUACAGAGUGUUACACAGUUGCACGAUGGAUCGGCUCUAUUUGUUACAGUAGCCAAGUAUUUGUCUCCAGCACUUCACGACAUCGAUCAAGUGGGAAUAACACCUGAUGUUCAGUGUACAGUUGAGAUGCUUAAUUCAGGCAAAGACACCUUUAAGGAAAGGAAGACAUCCUCAUCGUCUUUAGAGGCUGAUUCUUGCAUCAUGGUUGCUGAACAUGAAUUGGAUAUUCAAGAAUCAAAAGGUUCUGCUUCUUGACUAGUUAGCAUAGGAGAUUCAAAAUGGUACAAGUUGUUUAUGGAUAUAUAUUAUUUAUUGUAUAUAAGUAAAGGUAAUACAAAUGUUCAUCAAGUAUGGUAUAGUGAGAGUUCCCAGAAAAUAAAAACUCAAGGUGCAAGUACUAUAAUACAACAGCUCAAAUAUAACUCAAGAUUUCAUUUUGGC